UACCCGCAGCACGAGUGGUGGUCACUCUUAUUGGGCCUAAAACGUCCGUAGCCUGUCCAUUAAAUGCCUGGGUAAAUCGAUGCGCUCAACGUAUCGAAUUCCGGGUAGACUGGUGGACUUGAGACCGGGAGAGGUGUGGGGUACUCCAGGGGUAGGGGUAAAAUCCUGUAAUCCUUGGGGGACCACCAGUGGCGAAGGCGCCACACUGGAACGGUUCUGACGGUGAGGGACGAAGCCCUGGGGCGCAAAC
rnacentral:rRNA from 1 species